ACGGAGGGGGCAAGCGUUAUUCGGAAUUACUGGGCGUAAAGAGCGCGUAGGCGGUGCGUCAAGUGGGAGGUGAAAACCCUGGGCUUAACCCAGGAACGGCAUUUGAAACUGUCGGGCUUGAGUCUGGGAGAGGAAAGCGGAAUUCCUGGUGUAGCGGUGAAAUGCGUAGAUAUCAGGAGGAACACCGGUGGCGAAGGCGACUUCCUGGACCAGUACUGACGCUGAGGCGCGAAAGCGUGGGUAGCAAACAG
rnacentral:rRNA from 1 species